CAAUAGCGUAUAUUAAAGUUGUUGCAGUUAAAAAGCUCGUAGUUGGAUUUGUGGCGUACGGUGUGUUCCGGGCACUUGUUGUCUGAGUAACCUGCUGUUGCCAUCCUUGGGUGGAACCUGUGUGGCAGUAGGUUGUCGUGCAGGGGAUGCCCAUCAUUUACUGUGAAAAAAUUAGAGUGUUCAAAGCAGGCUUAUGCCGUUGAAUAUAUUAGCAUGGAAUAAUGAGAUAGGACUUUUUUGCUAUUUUGUUGGUUUGCGCAAAGAGGUAAUGAUUAAUAGGGACAGUUGGGGGUAUUCGUAUUCCAUUGUCAGAGGUGAAAUUCUUGGAUUUUUGGAAGACGAACUACUGCGAAAGCAUUUACCAAGGAUGUUUUCAUUAA
rnacentral:rRNA from 1 species